CAAUCAGAAAUUACUCCACACUUUUUAUUGAUCUCUGGUUCUACCAUAUCUUAUUUAUUGGGUGGAAAUAUGGGCUAAUAACUAUAAAAGCAAUCUUCACUCGCUACAAAUGUGCUGCAAAAAAGGUCAGUAAGGAUAAUUCAUAAUGCCGCCUACAGAGAACAUACUAACAGUUGUAGAACUGUAUUGCGUUGAUUUAUUUACACCAUUAGUAAAAUUAAUUAGCAAAAUAUCAGUAUGAUAUCAGUAUGAUGGUGACGCAGUAAACUACAUCCACAAUAAUAAGUAUACUUUAUUAUUAAAUUACUAUCUAAAACUAAUUCAUUAAUUCAUUUUCUACCGCUUUUUCCUCACGAGGGUCGCGGGGGGUGCUGGAGCCUAUCCCGACUGGUGGCCGGCCAAUCACAGGGCACAUAUAGACAAACAACCAUUCACACUCACAUUCAUACCUAUGGACAAUUUGGUGUCGCUAAUUAACCUAGCAUGUUUUUGGAAUGUGGGAGGAAACCGGAGUACCCGGAGAAAACCCACGCAUGCACGGGGAGAACAUGCAAACUCCACACAGAGAUGGCCGAGGGUGGAAUUGAACCCUGGUCUCCAAGCUGUGAUCGGUGUGCCGCCCUCUAAAACUAAUACUAAUACAGUAAACCUCGGAUAUAUCGGAUUCAAUUGUUCCCACUGGUUUUGUCCGAUAUAAGCGAAAUCCGUUAUAUGCGUAUACCGGAAAAUGUCCGUUUUACGCAUAUAUCGGAUUUAUAUCCGGUAUAUGCGUAAAUGGGAUUUUAUCCGGAAUAAAAAGGCACUUCCUUGACUAUGUUUCCAAUGUACCUGGACGCGCAGGCAACGCUGCAAACGCUGCAAAUGACGUCGUAUAGCGGCCUGUCACGAUUCGGGGAAUCGGAGCGCCACGAUGCGGCCAUCCGAUAUAUGCGAGGGAAAUUUAAUGGAAAUGCAUUGGAACGGGACUGGAGAUUUUGUCCGAAAUAGGCGAAAUCCGUGAUAAAAAAUCCGAUAUAUGCAAUGAAUUUUUAUUGGAAAUGCAUUACAGAAAAAUCGGUUCUUUUUUAUCUGUCCGUUGUGAGCGAAUUUCCGAUAUAUCCGAGUCCGAUAUAUCCGAGGUUUACUGUACUAACUAAUACUCCAACUGUACGCACCAGUGCGAGUGGCUCCUCUUCCAUCAGAGAGUAGUGGGAGGAGGACAGGGAAGAUAUGGAAUUGUCAGAGAGCGUACGGGUGUUGCCCGGCGUGGGAGUCGCGCUCCGUCUCUCCUCUGGACUCUCUUCUUCUUUGAGGAGCGAGGAGAAGUCCAGACCGGAGUUCUGCAGCUCACUGUAGGUCCCGCUUGCCGCCAUUUGACCCUGACAAAAAUAGCCAUAUUCAUAUCCAGGAUUAAUUUGAUAUUGUCAGUUAUUGUGGUGUGCAAACGUGUCGAAGUGCGCUGCAUCACCUCUUUUAAGACAAUAAUUUGAUGCGCAGCCUUGAGAUAAUGCAGCUGGUGAGUGAUGAGAACACACGGCUUGUUCCUCAAAAGUCCACAAAUACACCUAAACACACAUAAGUUAUAACGUAAUGUUAUUAAUAUUUGAUGUAGGAUUGUAAUUUAGUUUUUAAUAUGAAUUUACUCUUCAAAGAUGUGCUUGCCCACUUCGGCAUCCACAGCACUGAGAGGGUCAUCCAGGAGGUAGAUGUCUGCAUCCUGGUACACUGCUCUGAAAAAUACCCUCAGUCAGAAGUUCAUUCAUUCAUUCAUUUUCGACCGCUUUUCCUCACGAGGGUCGCGGGGGGUGCUGGAGCCUAUCCCAGCUGUCUUUGGGCGAGAGGCGGGGUACACCCUGGACUGGUGGCCAGCCAAUCACAGGGCACAUAUAGACAAACAACCAUUCACACUCACAUUCAUACCUAUGGACAAUUUGGAGUCGAAAACGUAAUAACUGCCCGCUAACGUAAUACAAAUUUGCAGCUUUUAAUGUAAUAAUCCCGCAAAUUCCCACAAACUUAAUAAAAUUUGCCUACUGCAAACGUAAUACUGAAUUACUGAAAUUAUUACAAAUGUGCCAAAGUGAAAAUCUGUAAAUGUAAUAACUUCCGACAAAUUUAAUAUGAGACAAAAUAAUCAUCUUUGUGGUUGUUGUUGUUGUUUAUUUGUUUACUUAUAAACCUGCCAAUAGUGACUAAAUGUUGACAAGCAACCCGCAGACAAGAUCAUAUUUUUGCUAACAAUCUUCCAGAUAUUCCUUGUGUCAUGACUACUAUGUACAUGUCAUUUGCGUGUGUGUGAGUGAGUGACAAGAAAAAAAGCUCUGACUUGCUAGGGGGUGUAUGGAGUAAUUUUGGUGCCACCUGUUGGUUUGCACGUAUAGAUCAAUACGUCAAAAAAAAACUCAAAUUACGAAGACGAUUCAUUCAUUUUCUAAUAUAGACAAACAACCAUUCACACUCACAUUCAUACCUAUGGACAAUUUGGAGUCGCCAAUUAACCUAGCAUGUUUUUGGAAUGUGGGAGGAAACCGGAGUACCCGGAGAAAACCCACGCAUGCACGGGGAGAACAUGCAAACUCCACACAGAGAUGGCCGAGGGUGGGAAUUGAACCCUGGUCUCCUAGCUGUGAAGUCUGCGCGCUAACCACUAGACCGCCGUGCCGCCCAGUCAGAAGUUAAAGUAAAAAAAAAAAACAGAAAAAGUGUAGUUCUUUUUAAGCGUGCACACCUAGCUAAGCUGAUCCUGGCUUUCUGUCCUCCGCUCAAGUUGGCCCCUCUGUCUCCGACCGGUGUCAAGUCGCCUCCUGGCAAGAGCUCCAUGUCCUGGACAAGGUCCAAACGCAGCCUUUUUUACCGAGUCAUUCAGAGACAGAGUGGACUUACUACAAGCUACAGUGUCCAAGUGCCCCCGCGGUCUCACUCUCUUCAGGGCACAGGCUCUCAGGACUCUGUUGUAUUUCUGGCAGUUGAGCGCUUUGCCAAAGAGAAUGUUGCUUUGGAUGGUGCCAGGUAAAAGCCAGGGCUGCUGCGAGGUGUAGGUGAGAUCCCCCUUGACUUUGAUCACGCCACUUUCCUGACUCAGCUCUCCCAGGAUGGCGCUGAGGAGCGAAGACUGACACACAAAAGUUACUGUUUUCAUGUCAAGUUAUGAGUUCCUCCUGAUGGCGCCUGUACCUUCCCCGAUCCAACGGGACCGAUUACAGCGAGCAGCUGACCGGGCCUCACGGUGAAGGACACAUUCUGCAAUGUUGGAGCCUCUUGAAUCUGUGAAGACAAUAUACAGUAACUCUUAGCAAGAUAUCAUAUUGCAGCUUUGCCAUAUUUUUGUCAUACAGUGGCCAGGAGCAUUUAUAUAUACAACCGCAGAGAGCAACUUUAUUUGAUUGACAUAUUUAAAGGGACUCGACGGGACACACUAGCAAUUUGCAUUUGCAAUUUUAUAGCAAUUUGAUAAAAUGUAGCUACUUAUUGUUAAAAAUAGAUAUUUUAUUUGUCCAUUCUGUUCAUGUUUUUGUAUUUUUGGUUUAAAAAAAAUAUUUGCAGUGAAUCCUCAGCCCAUGGAGGACAGUGAGGAAAGGUAAACAACAGCAGGAGCAACACGUUUCAACAAGGACACAAAAACACCACAGCUGAAAAGAAUAGAACCGCAGAGAGCAACUUUAUUUGAUUGACAUAUUUAAAGGGACUCGACGGGAUCCGCCACCCGACAUGACAUACACUAGCAAUUUGCAUUUGCAAUUUUAUGGCAAUUUGAUCAAAUGUAGCUUCUUAUUGUUAAAAAUAGAUAUUUGAUUUGUGCAAUCUGUUCAUGUUUUUGUAUUUUUUGGUUUAAAAAAAAAUAUUUGGAGUGAAUCCUCAGCCCAUGGAGGACGGUGAGGAAAGGUAAACAACAGCAGGAGCAACACGUUUCAACAAGGACACAAAAACACCACAGCUGAAAAGAAUACAACCGCAGAGAGCAACUUUAUUUGAUUGACAUAUUCAAAGUGACUCGACGGGAUCCGCUACCCGACAUGACACACACUAGCAAUUUGCAUUUGCAAUUUUAUAGCAAUUUGAUAAAAUAUAGCUACUUAUUGUUAAAAAUAGAUAUUUGAUUUGUUCAAUCUGUUCAUGUUUUUGUAUUUUUUGGUUUAAAAAAAAAUAUUUGGAGUGAGUCGCAUACACUCCCUUUGAAACAAUAUAUCUGACCACGAAAAAAAUGAAUCCUCAGCCCAUGGAGGACGGUGAGGAAAGGUAAACACAACAGCAGGAGAAACAUGUUUAACAAGGACACAAAAACACCACAGCUGAAAAGAAUAGAACCGCAGAGAGCAACUUUAUUUGAUUGACAUAUUUAAAGUGACUCGACGGGAUCCGCCACCCGACAUGACACACACUAGCAAUUUGCAUUUGCAAUUUUAUAGCAAUUUGAUAAAAUGUAGCUACUUAUUGUUAAAAAUAGAUAUUUGAUUUGUUUAAUCUGUACAUGUUUUUGUAUUUUUUGGUUUAAAAAAAAUAUUUGGAGUGAGUCGCAUACACUCCCUUUGAAACAAUAUAUCUGACCACGAAACAAAUGAAUCCUCAGCCCAUGGAGGACGGUGAGGAAAGGUAAACAACAGCAGGAGCAACACGUUUCAACAAGGACACAAAAACACCACAGCUGAAAAGAAUAGAACCGCAGAGAGCAACUUUAUUUGAUUGACAUAUUUAAAGUGACUCGACGGGAUCCGCCACCCGACAUGACACACACUAGCAAUUUGCAUUUGCAAUUUUAUAGCAAUUUGAUAAAAUGUAGCUACUUAUUGUUAAAAAUAGAUAUUUGAUUUGUUCAAUCUGUUCAUGUUUUUGUAUUUUUUGGUUUAAAAAAAUUAUUUGGAGUGAGCCGCAUACACUCCCUUUGAAACAAUAUAUCUGACCACGAAACAAAUGAAUCCUCAGCCCAUGGAGGACGGUGAGGAAAGGUAAACACAACAGCAGGAGAAACAUGUUUAACAAGGACACAAAAACACCACAGCUGAAAAGAAUAGAACCGCAGAGAGCAACUUUAUUUGAUUGAUAUAUUUAAAGUGACUCGGCGGGAUCCGCUACCCGACAUGACACACACUAGCAAUUUGCAUUUGCAAUUUUAUAGCAAUUUGAUAAAAUGUAGCUACUUAUUGUUAAAAAUAGAUAUUUGAUUUGUGCAAUCUGUUCAUGUUUUUCUUUUUUUUUUGGUUUAAAAAAUAAGAAUUUGGAGUGUUUGAAACAAUAUAUCCGACCACGAAACAAAUGAACAACAAAUGAGCAACACGUUUCAACAAGGACACAAAAACACCACAGCUGAACAGAAUAGAGGCCACAGGAGCCUGAGAAAAGUGUAAAACGUGUAUGGUUUUUACAGCCUUAAGGGCAUAUAAUGGUAAGAAAUGAAGUAGGCUACUUCGCAGAUUUCAGUUAUUGCUCGCUAUUUUGGGGACCUAUCCCCCGCAAUAAACAAGGGAACAGUGUAUUCUGUACCUAAAAUUAUGGAAUUCAUCUAUUUUAACCUCCACGGCCUCACCUUGUCCCAGUAGCAUAUCAGAUCCUGAAUCUUCAGCAUACAGUCUUUCUUCUCUGCCACAGGAAGUCCCAAAUGCUGAGGAGCAACUUCAUCCAGAAGGAGAAAAUUCUAACAAGAAUGAGUGUACUUCAAUACUUCACUCAAUACAACAUUGAUAUAAGCCUGUGUUGUACAGUACUUACUUUAAUUCUUCGGAUGCUAAUGAGGGAUUCUGACACCUUCUCAAUGGCAAAGGGAAAGAAAAGCGUGAUGGUGAGUCUGAUGGCGCCGUAGAGGGAAGCGGCCAUGAAGACGGUGCUGGAAGACAGCUGGUUGCCUGUUAGCACGUAGACGCAAACGGUGAUGAAGAUUAUGAGCUUGCUGGCCACGAAGAAGGACGCCAUGUUCAAGCCACGCAGAUUGCAAGUAUGCAAGAGUUAUGCAGUGGAAACGUUGGAAUGACAUGCUAGUGUACCUUCUGACUUCAUCCACAAGAGCAGCAAAAGGAGCAGAGACACCAACUGCAAGGAUGGAACCAACGUAAGCGCGACUCCAGCAUACUGAAUGGCUGCGAACCUCAGAGUGGAAAACAAUCUUCCAAACGCGGUCUGCACUGGGAUCAGAACUAAGAAGACGGCCAUUCCCGCCAAGCAUGAUGGGCCGAUCCAGUACAUCAACAGCGGUAUCACCAUGGCUGCUUGCAAGGGGGCAACCCACAGAAAGUGUAGAUACAAUGUUACCUAGGACACAAGGAUUUAAAGAAAUACAUACGGUGUACAUCCAGUUGGGUCACAACAUAGAGUACUAAUGAAGAUAAUUACCUCGUCGAAUCUGUUGACAUCAUUGGAGAGUAGAUUCACAAUUUGUCCCGUCGUCGUCUUUGUCAGCGCUGCAUUGUUUAGACUGAGAGCCUAUGACAAGACAAAUACGUUGCAUUAUAAUAACUCAACAGUGUUGUUCUUAUAAAGAACUGAUACGUCCUGAUGGAGCUGACCUUACGAUAGAUCAUGUGACACAUUGCCACGCGAAUCUUCAUGCCCGCUCUUUGUACGUGGUAGAAAUAAAGAUGGUGGAGCACAGCCACCCAGAUGGUGGACAGCGAGAUGCCGGCGGCGUAGCUGUAGGCCUCAUAGACUGCAGCUGGGGAUGUGGCGUCAGGAUUCUCAAAGUACUCAAUUAGCUUCCCAAGUAACCACGACUGAAGGACUUUGAUGCCUUCCUGGUAAAGAAGAGUAAAUGUGCUGAAUGAAGAAAAAAUUAGCCAUCUUUAGGAAUAACGUGAGUUGAUGCAUGAUACCUCGAUAAAGAUGUAUACUCCUAUGACGACAUACGCUCUCCAGUAACACCUUAUAAGGACUCUGGUGAGUUUGGGUUGCCGCAUAUCGUUUGCUGCCAUCUUGACUUCCUGGUUCCAGUACCUUUGAAAAGCAUAAACAAAUAGUGACAUGAUAGGAAACAAACGUGUGUGAUUGGUUUCCUCAAGUAGUGGCCUCCGCUAAGGGAGACACCAUACCUCCCCUCAUAUAAGCAGCUAGUUCGCAGUCAUUACAUUUAUUAGUUACUUGUAAUUAUGUUUAAAUGUUUAAAUUUUUUCAAAUUGUUUUUAA